UCAAAGGCUCUUUUCAGAGCCACCACAUGCUCAAGUAAAGUAGCUGU
rfam:Callithrix jacchus chromosome 4, whole genome shotgun sequence